rnacentral:misc_RNA from 1 species
UAGCCUCUCAUUUCUUGACCAGCAGCUUCAAAUGCCCAAUCUGGUACUCGGAUCAUGUCAACCAAAACCGCAUAUUCUGAAAUAGGAAUUCCUUGUUGAGCACGUAAUAGGUGCGCUUGUCUUCGUGUAAGCCACUUUCCCAUGGACAUGCAAGCAAUACAAAGGAGUCCACAGUAGCUGAAAAGCAACCAAAUAAUAAAACCCCAUUUCUGACCAUCUUCUGGCAAACAAUUUCUUGCACUAGCGAACCAGAGUGUACCAAUUAUAGUCCAAG